AUUGAACGCUGGCGGAAUGCUUUACACAUGCAAGUCGAGCGACAGCACGGGGGCAACCCUGGUGGCGAGCGGCGAACGGGUGAGUAAUACAUCGGAACAUGCCCAGUCGUGGGGGAUAACACUUCGAAAGAAGUGCUAAUACCGCAUACGUCCUGAGGGAGAAAGCGGGGGAUCGCAAGACCUCGCGCGAUUGGAGUGGCCGAUGUCAGAUUAGCUAGUUGGUGGGGUAAAGGCCUACCAAGGCAACGAUCUGUAGCUGGUCUGAGAGGAUGAUCAGCCAGACUGGGACUGAGACACGGCCCAGACUCCUACGGGAGGCAGCAGUGGGGAAUUGUGGACAAUGGGGGCAACCCUGAUCCAGCCAUUCCGCGUGAGUGAAGAAGGCCUUCGGGUUGUAAAGCUCUUUCGGCAGGAACGAAACGGUGAGCUCUAACAUAGCUUGCUAAUGACGGUACCUGAAGAAGAAGCACCGGCUAACUACGUGCCAGCCGCCGCAGUAAAAC
rnacentral:rRNA from 1 species